UACGUAGGGGGCGAGCGUUGUCCGGAUUUAUUGGGCGUAAAGAGCUCGUAGGCGGUUCGAUAAGUCGGGUGUGAAACCUCCAGGCUCAACCUGGAGACGCCACCCGAUACUGUCGUGACUAGAGUCCAGUAGGGGAGCGUGGAAUUCCUGGUGUAGCGGUGAAAUGCGCAGAUAUCAGGAGGAACACCAGCGGCGAAGGCGGCGCUCUGGGCUGGAACUGACGCUGAGGAGCGAAAGCGUGGGGAGCGAACAGG
rnacentral:rRNA from 1 species